CGACUACUCAGCAUUACUUCGAGUGAAAUCGACUCCCAAAAGGACUUCAACUCCUGCCGAAGUGUUUCCGUCAGUUGGAUCGAAAAGACCCUCGUCCUCCCGUGACGACGACAAUGACGAUAAGCCGUUGCUCUUCUCAGACGACGAUGACCAGACGGAUAUCAAGACGGAGGUUGCCAGUCAGAUUUACCGGAUACAGAGCUUCCUGAGGAGUGAUCGUCUGAAGCGACCCAGGAGGAGUGCAAGUAACAAGGGACAGGUUAUCUAAGGUUGACAUGCAUGAUGACUUGAAAUGCUCUCCGGAGAUUAUACACAGAUAUUGUUUUCGUCGGAAGGGUUUAGUUCGACCCGCGAGGAUCUAGGAAAUAGUAAAAAA